GAUCUACUCCCUCCGUUCCUAAAUACUUGUCUUUCUAGGCAUUUCAACAAGUGACUACAUACGGAGCAAAAUGAGUGAAUCUACACUCUAAAAUAUGUCUACAUACAUCCGUAUGUAGUAGUCAUUUGAAAUGUUUAGAAAGACAAGUAUUUAGGAACGGAGGGAGUACUAC
rnacentral:pre_miRNA from 1 species